CCUACGGGAGGCAGCAGUAAGGAAUAUUGGUCAAUGGACGCAAGUCUGAACCAGCCAUGCCGCGUGAAGGAUUAAGGCCCUCUGGGUUGUAAACUUCUUUUAUAGGGGACGAAAAAAGGGCAUUCUUGCUCACUUGACGGUACCCUAGGAAUAAGCACCGGCUAACUCCGUGCCAGCAGCCGCGGUAAUACGGAGGGUGCAAGCGUUAUCCGGAUUUACUGGGUUUAAAGGGUGCGUAGGUGGGUUGGUAAGUCAGUGGUGAAAUCUUCGAGCUUAACUCGGAAACUGCCAUUGAUACUAUCAAUCUUGAAUCAUCUAGAGGUAAGCGGAAUAUGUCAUGUAGCGGUGAAAUGCUUAGAUAUGACAUAGAACACCAAUUGCGAAGGCAGCUUACUAUGGAUGCAUUGACACUGAGGCACGAAAGCGUGGGGAUCAAACAGGAUUAGAUACCCUGGUAGUCCACGCCCUAAACGAUGGAUACUCGACAUUUGUGAUAUACAAUAAGUGUCUGAGCGAAAGCAUUAAGUAUCCCACCUGGGAAGUACGACCGCAAGGUUGAAACUCAAAGGAAUUGACCGGNGNGAGAGNGCGACGACGACGACGAGGGAGGAGG
rnacentral:rRNA from 1 species